GUCCGCUUGGUCUAGAGGCAUGAUACCUGCUUUGGGUGCAGGUGGUCCGGGGUUCGAUUCCCCGAGCGGACC